AUGGUGGGGGGCAAUAGUGUCAUAUUAUGUUUGUAUGUGGACGACAUACUGAUCUUUGGUACAAACAUUAAUGCAAUUAAUGAGGUCAAGUCUUUUCUAUCAAAAAGUUUUGACAUGAAAGAUCUGGGAGAAGCCGAUGUAAUUCUAAACAUCAAACUUAUUAAGGAUGUGAGUGGGAUUACAUUAACGCAAUCUCACUAUGUUGAGAAGGUCUUGAACCGAUUCGGUUUUAUGGAUAGCAAGCCUUCUCCAACACCUUAUGAUCCCAGCGUGACACUCAGAAAGAACAAGAAAGAAACGAGAGAUCAAUUAAGAUACUCUCAAAUUGUCGGUUCACUCAUGUACUUAGCUAGCGCUACAAGACCAGAUAUCUCUUUUGCUGUGAGCAAACUGAGUAGGUUCAUGUCCAACCCGGGUGAUGAUCAUUGGCAUGCACUAGAAAGGGUCUUGCGCUAUCUGAGAGGUACUAUGAGUUACGGAAUUACUUAUUCAGGGCAUCCUGCUGUGCUAGAAGGAUAUAGUGAUUCAAAUUGGAUCUCCGAUGUUGAUGUACUUUAUGCAACAAGUGGGUAUGUAUUUACUCAUGGUGGUGGCGCAGUGUCAUGGAGGUCUUGCAAGCAAACCAUAUUGACGAGGUCAACUAUGGAAGCAGAAUUAACUGCUUUGGACACAGCUACUGUUGAGGCAGAAUGGCUGCGUGAGCUCUUGAUGGACUUGCCGGUUGUUGAAAAACCUGUACCGGCUAUUCUUAUGAAUUGUGAAACCAAACGCGUGAAAAGACGUUUGAAGUCUGUCAGGAAGUUGAGAAACUCCGGAGUAAUAACUGUUACGUAUAUACAAACAGACAAAAACCUGGCAGAUCCCUUUACAAAGGGACAAUCACGAAAUGUGAUAGAUAUUGCAUCGAGGGAGAUGGGUAUGAGACCCAUAGAUGUUACACCAUAG
rnacentral:rRNA from 1 species